GUGCCAGCAGCCGCGGUAAAACGUAGGUGGCGAGCGUUAUCCGGAAUUACUGGGCGUAAAGCGUGUGCAGGCGGGCUAGCAAGUGGUGUAUGAAAUCGUCCGGCUUAACCGGGCGUGGUUAUGCCAGACUGCUAGUCUUGAGUGCGAGAGAGGAGCGUGGAAUUCCGGGUGUAGUGGUGAAAUGCGUAGAGAUCCGGAGGAACCCCAGAGGCGAAGGCGGCGCUCUGGCUCGCAACUGACGCUCAGACACGACAGCAUGGGGAGCGAACGGGAUUAGAAACCCCCGUAGUCC
rnacentral:rRNA from 1 species